rnacentral:rRNA from 1 species
GACGAACCGUGCGAACGUUGUUCGGAAUCACUGGGCUUAAAGGGCGCGUAGGCGGCUUGCCAAGUCGGGGGUGAAAUCCGGCAGCUUAACUGUCGAAGUGCCUUCGAUACUGGCGAGCUCGAGGGAGGUAGGGGUCUGUGGAACUUCUGGUGGAGCGGUGAAAUGCGUUGAUAUCAGAAGGAACGCCGGUGGCGAAAGCGACGGACUGGACCUCUUCUGACGCUGAGGCGCGAAAGCUAGGGGAGCAAACGGG